rnacentral:lncRNA from 1 species
CAAUGUUCUUCACAUCACCACCAGGAAGUCCCCAUGCGGUGAAGGUAUAUUUCCUCAAAUUCUCUCUUUAAAUUUCAUCUUUAUGUGUUUUUGUGCUAUACACCAAACACAAUUUUUGUCGCUUUAAAUUUAAUGGAAAAAUGAAUUCAAAGGUCAUUUCUUGCAGACAAGUUGAAAAUUUCUUGAGUGAAGAUUUCCUUCUUUGGAAAUGUACCCUUCAUACCUUCAGACAGUAAAUCUANGAUAGAACACUGACAGACAAAAAUGAUUAUUAUACCUUCAGGUACUUGAUCUUUUUCCUAUUAUUAUUCUUUUCCUUAUUAUAUUUGUCGGUUCCAUUUUCUUUGCCAUUCAAUUCUUUUAUAAUUUUUUGAGGUCCCUACUGAUAAAUAACAAUAUAUGCAUAUUAUAGUUAGUGAAAAUUUUAAGAAAAUAUAGGGUUCUUUUAAAUUGUCGGAAUGUAAAAGGUUUAUUCCAAAAACCUAUGAUAAAUUAAAUUUUGUAAUAGUUGUUUCUGCAUUUCCAUUUUGUGCUUGGGAUUUGUAACAUUUGUUAAUGCAUGAAUUGCAGUUGGAAAAACUGAUUUCUUAUUGACCAAGUCCUACUCUUGUUGCAUUUCAGGGAUGGUUGUACAAAUUUCAUAUCUCUAUAGAAAAGAAAGCAUGAAACUAGCCAAUGGCUUAAAAUUGAAGCUACCGAAGUCACACCCAAUCGUGUUGACACCUAUGCAAUUGAUGCUUUUGGUAUAUAUAUUACACUGUUAUUCCAUUUUUCACCAUUAAAUUGACUUUGUGUAUAGAUCUACUACACUUUUAAUUAUAAUGAAGUCACACUUCUA